rnacentral:rRNA from 1 species
AUUGAACGCUGGCGGCAUGCCUUACACAUGCAAGUCGAACGGCAGCGGACCUUCGGGUGCCGGCGAGUGGCGAACGGGUGAGUAAUGUAUCGGAACGUACCUUUCAGUGGGGGAUAACGUAGAGAAAGUUACGCUAAUACCGCAUAUUCUGUGAGCAGGAAAGCAGGGGAUCGCAAGACCUUCCGCUGCUUGAGCGGCGGAUCUCAGAUUAGCUAGUUGGUGAGGUAAAGGCCCACCAAGGCGACGAUCUGUAGCGGGUCUGAGAGGAUGAUCCGCCACACUGGAACUGAGACACGGUCCAGACUCCUACGGGAGGCAGCAGUGGGGAAUUUUGGACAAUGGGGGCAACCCUGAUCCAGCCAUGCCGCGUGAGUGAAGAAGGCCUUCGGGUUGUAAAGCUCUUUCGUCCGGGAAGAAAUCGCAUCAGCUAAUACCUGGUGUGGAUGACGGUACCGGAAUAAGAAGCACCGGCUAACUACGUGCCAGCAGCAGCCGCCGUAA